rnacentral:lncRNA from 1 species
AAGCAUUCCCUUUUCACCCACACCCACACAAACAUCUAUUGUUUUUUGACUUUUUAAUGUUAUUCUUGCAGAGUAAGGUGAUACCUUAUUGCAGUUUUAAUUUGAAUUUCCCUGAUGAUUAGUGAUGUUAACCAUUUUUUUAACAUGCUUGUUGUGGGUUUGACAUUUAAAAAGACUCAUAUUCCUCAGAUAAGUUUUUUUCUUUUUCAUCCCCACCCCCACUCUCCCCGUCCCAGUUGAGCCUCCAUCAUCUCUCACCUGGACUGGUGCAGUCUUCUCCAAGCAGCUUGCUGGAAUGCAGGCGUGCUGGCUGGGACUGAACCACCCUCUGGGACUGUGAGGCAGCAAUGUUGGAUGGCGGGGAAGCAGGCUGGAAGAAAAUUUAAGACCCUAGGCUUCAGAAGCAGACGAGGGAACGAGCAGAAGAACAGAAGAACAGCAGAAUGGCAUGGCAGAGAGAAGAAAGGGACCAUCUGAACGCCAAGAGAAAUUCAGCUGGGGGAGGUCAGAGAGGAGAUAGACUGCAGGACAGCCAAGCUCCAGGGGAAGAUCAUCUUCCCACUCCAUCCCCUUUCCAGCUCCCCAUCCAUCCCGCUGAGAGCCACCUCCACCACUCAAUAAAACCCUGCAUUCACCAUCCUCAAGUCUGUGUGUGACCUGAUUCUUCCUGGAUGCCGGACAAGGACCUAGGUACCAUGAGGGCACUGAGCUGGUUAACACUUAAGCUAUCUGCAGGCAGCACAGCUAAAAGAAUGCAUGGUAACACAUGCCUACUUGGGCUUUGGGAGUUGCAGGCACCCACCCCUAGAAGCUACCAUGGGGCUGGAGCCCCAAGGUGCUUGCCCUGGC